rnacentral:rRNA from 1 species
CAGCAGCCGCGGGAAUACGAGGGGGGCAAGCGUUGUUCGGAAUUAUUGGGCGUAAAGGGCGCGUAGGCGGUUUGGCAAGUUUGGUGUGAAAUCUUCGGGCUCAACUCGAAGUCUGCAUCGAAAACUGCCGGGCUUGAGUAUGGGAGAGGUGAGUGGAAUUUCCGGUGUAGCGGUGAAAUGCGUAGAUAUCGGAAGGAACACCUGUGGCGAAAGCGGCUCACUGGACCAUUACUGACGCUGAGGCGCGAAAGCUAGGGGAGCAAACAGGAUUAGAUACCCGCGUAGUCCCUGUCUCUUAUAA